rnacentral:rRNA from 1 species
CAGCAGCCGCGGGAAAACGAAGGGUGCAAGCGUUACUCGGAAUUACUGGGCGUAAAGCGUGCGUAGGUGGUGGUUUAAGUCCGUUGUGAAAGCCCUGGGCCCAACCUGGGUAUUGCAGUGGAUACUGGGUCACUAGAGUGUGGUAGAGGAUAGUGGAAUUUCCGGUGUAGCGGUGAAAUGCGUAGAGAUCGGGAGGAACAUCAGUGGCGAAGGCGGCCAUCUGGGACAACACUGACGCUGAGGCACGAAAGCGUGGGGAGCAAACAGGAUUAGAUACCCCCGUAGUCCCUGUCUCUUAUAC